CAGCAGGCACAAGGCCCUGCAUGUGACAGCAAGGGCAGUGCAGCUGCUCUGGGCACAUCAGCUCACUUCAUUAAACUGCACUGCCUUCAGCAACAGGAUGCUGAGAGAAAAGUCUCUCUGAGGCUAAUGCUGGCAACAGAAAAUUACCUGGUCAUCUCAGGCAGAAGUAAUCUUUGGAGUCUGUGCCUAAAAAUGAAGGCCUCCUUCCUACAGUCCAUUGCAAAGAAUACAAGCUAGAAAGAAAUACAUCUAAAUGUCACCCCAUUAGGCUGGGCAAAAUUUGCGAUGCCCAUUGUAUUCCAUAUUUUUAUAGAAUCAUAGAAUGGUUUGAACCUUAAAGAUCAUCUUAUUCCAGCUGCCUGCAAUGGGCAGGGACACCUUCCACUAGACUAGGUUUCUCCAAAUCCCAUCCAGCCUGACCUUGAAUAUUUCCAGGGAUGGAGCAGCCACAGCUUCUCUGGGAAUCUUUGUCAGGGCCUCACAGGGAAGAACUUCUUCCUAAUAGCCAAUAUAACCCUGCCCUCUGUCAGUUUGAAGCCACUCAUUUUUGUAUUUGCUGCCCAAAACUGACAAAGAAACAAACCCUCCCCAAACCACCCCACCACAUUUUGUUGCAUCCAAUGCUAAUUCUAGCAAUAUAAUUUCAAAAGGAAAUUCAAAACGGUUUUAUCAUUUUCCUUCUUCCUGUUCUUCCAGAAAUAGCAAUGGCUAAUAUGGUCUGUCUCACUUUGUCAGACUCUGAGACUUCUGGGGGCUGUGUAAUUAGCCUUUACUAGAAUUCUUCCCUUUCUCACAACAGUAUCAAGCACCACAUUACACAGUAGUUUGUCACAGAUAAUUCUUUUUUUUUUAGAGAAGUGUUUUUUGCACAUCCUGACCCAAGCGAGCUCCCAAGGUCUCUCAGCUCCAUGUAUUUCAACAGACAAGACAGACUUAGUGUGGAUCAGAAUGUUUGCAGAUGUAUUUAAGAAGUCUCAGAACCUUGUACAGAGUGUUCCAGGCCAGAAGUACAGUACCUUUAAAAUCACUAUGAAAACAAAGCACUGCACCACACACAUUCCUUGGCCUGGGCACAGGAGGGAACCAGCCCAGCUGACAGCCUGAAGGCACAUUGCUCAUCCUGCUGUGGAAAGGAGCUCCAGCAGAACAAGGCCAUGGCUCUGUACCCUCCUCAGACCAUUUGAUCUGCCUCAAUGCAGAGCAGUUUUACCCUUGCUAAAGUCCCUCAGCUCAUGGGAUGAAAAUUCUCACCUGCAGGACAACGGGGAGUAGAAACAAUCCCAGAGUCCAAGCUGGGGACUGCAGGUGUGACCUGCUCCACCCCCCAGACACCCAGGAGCUUCAGUUAAUUGCUGGGUUUUUGAAUUAUUUCUGCUUUCUGUAGAAUGGGAAUCAUUCCAACUUAGGGAAAGAAGACUCAUAGGAUUACCCAAAUAUAUAACAAAAAAAUAAUUAUAUAGAAACAGAUUUUUCAGAGCAAGAAAAAAAAUCAGAGAGAUAAAAGAGGAAUAUGUGUUGCAGUGCCAGGUGGCUCUUUCUCUUUGGUCAUCUCACCAGUUCCUACAGGACAUGAGUAAUACACGGACAAAUGUAAGGGAAUGGCUGGCUGACUCCUAGGCUCAUGUAACAAGAUGAAACUGCAGUUUUCACACUAUCAAAUUGAAAGCCUAAUCAAAUUAUACAGCCAUGCCAGAGACUUGGCACUGGACCCAGCAAAAAUGCAAAGUCAGUUCAGUGGGAUGUGAAUCCUGUGUUGGGUGCCACAGGUCAGACACUGCCCUGGUGCCUGCAGGGCUCUGGGGAGUUUGGACAGGUCUUAGGGAAGACAGGCUGUUCCACAUGCACACCUGGUAACUUCAUUUUUCUGUGCUUCUGAUUGUGUUUUCCCAGUGAAAGCCCAGUGGAGUCAAUGGAAAAUUUCCCUGUUGGCUGCUUUGGGCCAAGACCCAAAUUUCUACCUUUUGUUCAUCUCCCUCCUCUCUCACUGGUCUGUGGAGAAAUGAUUCCACCUGAGGGAGAAAAUGUUACACAAGGUAAUCCAAAUCCUUCCUGCAGUCUAUCACCUCAAUUUACACCAGAUAUACUCCUAGUUUCCUACCUGCAAGCAUUAGCAGGCAUAGCUCCCACUUACACAGGGUACAGCCUCUCAGAGAACAGCUAAGGCACUAAAAACCUUCAGCUGCCUCACACACCAACUUAAAACUCUGCAAAGGACAUGAAAAUACAUAAAUUUGUGAAGUCAGAAACUGAAAAUCAAAGAGCAGUUGAAGGAAAAGCAUGUUUGAUUUGAUCUUGUCUCACUGGGCAAUGCAUGUAGAGUUUUACUGGGUGUUGCUCACAGGAAAAUUCCCCAGCCAUUAACCAGCACUGCCAAGCCCACCGUGCCCCAGGUGCUACAGCUAAACUUCUUUUAAAUCCCUCCAGGGAUGGCCACGCCAUCACUUCUCUGGGAAGCCAGCCUCCUUCCAGAGAGCUGUAGAGUGGGGGGAGGUUUCCCCUGAAGCUCACUUUUCAGAGGUAGGCAAAUUCUCACUAUCUCCAUUGGUUUCCUUGCACAGUAACCUGUAAUUCCUCUUUCUGAGCUGCAGCAGCUGCUCCAUGGCUGGCAGCACAUGCACCCCACUGAGUGCACAAGCGUGGCAAGGACUUGGUUCCCAGCACCCCACCACCACGCUGGCCACAAAGCACUCUCACAAGCCACUGGAGACUGGCAU
rnacentral:lncRNA from 1 species